UUGCUUAAAAGCUGUUGAACCUGAUGAUUUAAAAAAAAAAAAAAAAAAGAGAGAGAUUGUAGUUUGCUUUACAGGUGUAAGGCCUAGAUGAGUUGAGAUGAUUUCUAUCCAACGGUUAGUGGCUUAGGUGGAGAACGUAGUGCUGCAUCUUGAAAGAUGUAGUGGCUGUCGUUGUUGAGAUUGCAGGAAUCGGCUGCUCCACUUCGGUGUGUGUAGUGGCUAUCUCUGUUAGAACCACUGAUUAGAUGCUAUUUCUUGUUCGAAUUUGCACCUUAGGUUUUCGGAUAGAGUUUCUGCAUGCCCUGGCGGGAAUUGGUAACUCUUCUUCUAGAGGCUUUUUCAUAAACUCGUGCUACUCUCAUUGCCAGUCGGAGAUGCAGGAGACUUGGUUCAGAUACGACUCGCCUAUGCUUGGGAAUAAAAUAAUUGCAGAAGCUGUUGGAGACUGGUUCUAUAUGCGGAGCCCCUUCCAGAAGAUUGACUGCCCCUACCCUUGCAACACUAGUUGUAAGAACAAUACUUUUGAAGCCAAUUUGGGAGCAUAGCAAUUACAGAAUAUUCCUCCUGCAUUGAUCCCACUCCUCAUACUAUACUUGCUGCAAUAACGAAAGAAUGAAACAGGCAUUAUUUUCCAAUAUAGGGUAAGGGGUACCAGUACAAUUAUUUGCCGGUCUCUUGCAUUAUUCUCCAAGUUCUGAUGAUUUUUAAACAUUUUUUUCUGUGUGAGGAUCUGAUAAUUAUAUUCCCCGGUUGUAAUAAAUAUUUAUUUAUUAUCUAAAGUGAAACUCUAGAUGCUGCUUGAAUUUCGACGAGAAAA